rnacentral:tRNA from 1 species
GGUUCUUUAGCGCAGUUGGUCAGAGCUAACGGCUCAUAACCGUUCGGUCACUGGGUCGAGUCCAGCAAGAGUGCG